GGUGAGUAACACGUGGGAACGUGCCUUUAGGUUCGGAAUAACUCAGGGAAACUUGUGCUAAUACCGAAUGUGCCCUUCGGGGGAAAGAUUUAUCGCCUUUAGAGCGGCCCGCGUCUGAUUAGCUAGUUGGUGAGGUAAAGGCUCACCAAGGCGACGAUCAGUAGCUGGUCUGAGAGGAUGAUCAGCCACAUUGGGACUGAGACACGGCCCAAACUCCUACGGGAGGCAGCAGUGGGGAAUCUUGCGCAAUGGGCGAAAGCCUGACGCAGCCAUGCCGCGUGAAUGAUGAAGGUCUUAGGAUUGUAAAAUUCUUUCACCGGGGACGAUAAUGACGGUACCCGGAGAAGAAGCCCCGGCUAACUUCGUGCCAGCAGCCGCGGUAAUACGAAGGGGGCUAGCGUUGCUCGGAAUUACUGGGCGUAAAGGGAGCGUAGGCGGACAUUUAAGUCAGGGGUGAAAUCCCGGGGCUCAACCUCGGAAUUGCCUUUGAUACUGGGUGUCUUGAGUGUGAGAGAGGUAUGUGGAACUCC
rnacentral:rRNA from 1 species